rnacentral:rRNA from 1 species
UACAGAGGUCUCAAGCGUUGUUCGGAUUCAUUGGGCGUAAAGGGUGCGUAGGUGGCGCUGUAAGUCGGGUGUGAAAUUUCGGAGCUUAACUCCGAAACUGCAUUCGAUACUGCGGUGCUUGAGGACUGGAGAGGAGACUGGAAUUCAUGGUGUAGCAGUGAAAUGCGUGGAGAUCAUGAGGAAGACCAGUGGCGAAGGCGGGUCUCUGGACAGUUCCUGACACUGAGGCACGAAGUCCAGGGGAGCAAACGGG